UUUAUUCUUUUGGUUCUUCAGCAUAUACAGACACACACAAAAUCAGAAAAAAGAAAGAGAACAGAAGAGAGCCAAACAACCCUUGUUCGUCCUCUUCAAUCAGACACUCCAACUGGCAAUGGUAAUUUUGUUGAUUUUCUUUCUUUUUCCAGUACGAAUCCAACCAAUUUACAGCUAUUAUUGUCUUUUGAUUUUGAAUUUCAACCAAAUCAACAGAGGGGGAAUCCCACAUCGGUUUUGGGCAUUAGUUUGAGCAUUUUUCUGUUCUAUAAAUAGAGCUCACUUAUCUUUGAGCAAGAGAAGAAGAAAAAUGGCUUUGAGACCAAAAAAUUGGUUCUUAUACCAUUAAAUGGGUUUUUUUCAUAAGCCUAUGAGUAAGAACACUUAGAAACCCAGCGAAGCUGCGAGUUUCGAGGACGUUCUCACUCAAGUAUAAUUUUUGGAAAUCAUUUCCAUUCCUUGGAAAUCGAUUCGAUGUGAAAGGUGUUCAUUGACGCUCGUCGCCCCCGUCACUGCUCAGCAAAAAGGUAAUCCUCAAUCCUUUUUAUUUCAUCUUAUUUUAGUCCUUAAUUCUGCCUGUUAUAUGAAUGUUUUGGUACUUAGUGCUAGUUAAUAUAUGAUUGGUCUAGUUUAGCUGUAAUCAUAUAGUGUCGAUUCUGUUUUAGCUUAAACAAUGGGCUUGGUAUACUGUUAGCAUGGUACGUUAGUUUAGUUCAAUUCCCUUUAGUAAAAGUGAAGUUAGUUAUAGAUUUUUUUUUUAGUUCAAGGGUUAUUUAUGUGGUAUAACUGCAUAAGUGCUUGUUACUAACUCUGUGGGAUGUUUAUAAGCUUGGUUUGGUUUGAAUCAGUAGCGUAGUAAAUUUUAGCUUAAUAGGUGUUGUUUGCAUUACUCUGCUUUAGGUUCAUUCUUGCCUAAGAUCAAGAUGAUUUAACUAAGUAUGAGUUAGUGGUCUAGAGAUCAUUCAAGUUUUGAUAACAAUGUGUGAUUAAAGACUAUGGUUCAAUGUGCCUGAGCAUCUAAAUGUCCAUCUAGGGGUCAGCUAAACUUAUGAAGAACUACAUCCAAUUUAUGGGUUUGCUUCAGUUUUGAAUGUUUAGUUUUCAUUUUUAAGAAAAUGCACUCUGCCUAGUUUAAGAUUAUUGUAGCUAAAAAAAUUUAUGGUUCAUGCCUAAGAUGUGUGUUUCUCAGAAUGUUUCACUUGAAGAUUAACCAUUAAAUACUCUUUAAAAAAAAAUUGAAUUUCAUGACUAGAAAGUCCUAAAUGCUUAUGUCCUUGUACCUGUUUGUGUAUGAAGAGCAAGUUAUGAUUGGUGACCCUUCCCUGUACUUUUUUUUAGUUGAGUUAAAAAAUGAUGUUUUUCUUGAAGCUUGCAUGACCACUUUGGUUUCCAACCCCAAAUCUCUGAAUCAUGCUCUACCUCUUUAAAAUGGUUCUUCUUCUUUUUCACUUCUUCUUUGCUGAUCAGCGGAGAACACUUCCAUAAGGGAAUAAGAUCUUUGUAAUUAAUGGGGUUCAAAUAAAAAAAAAAUGUGUUUGAUGUCCCUUAUUUGAUUCGGAAGUAAUAAGAUCGGAUCCGUUUGUGUUCAAAUCCCUUUAUGUGACUCAUUAAAAUGUACACUAGAUACCAUGACUAUAGGGAGCUUGCAUCUCUUUUCAUAUAAAAUCACAAAUUAGGAAAAUGAGUUGAAGCAUAUGGGAUUCAGUGAUCUCUUUUCUUUCAUGUUUUGUUCUUGAGAACAACUCUUAAGAUUGAGUGACUAGCUAUUUAUUUGACCACUGGAAAAGGAUAUGUAUCUUGUUAAGGUGUAAUAUGUUCUUUUUCAUCUUUAAUAAUGUAGAAAACAUGUUGUUAAGCUCCAUUCACAUUUUCUCGCUAGAAGUUCAGGUAGGUCACAUAUAAUCAUGCCAUGGCCUUGUCUACUUGCCUAUACGAUACAUGUCUUAAUUUCUAUAAUGUGAGUCUAACAUCCCUAAUGACCAUGUUAUGCCUCUUACUUAUGCAGACCUAAGCCCUUUCAAAUGACUUACCUACAUUUAUGCCUAAAUUUGAAUGAACUUUGAACUUUUGGUUACUUAGGAAAUAAUUAUGGAACUGCAUUACAAUAUCAAGUGGGGAAUACUAUUUUUUUUUCUUUCCAAAUAUAUGUAUGUCUAUAUUGAAACUGUGGGCUAAGAUGAAUUACUCAAACUAAAAUUUAAUCAGAUAAGGCCUAGAACUGAGCUGUUGUGUUGUGUUCUUGGACUGAAUUUUGCUUAUGGGAAGUGAAUCAUUUUGGACAAUGUUUGUGCUAACUUAGGUGCUAAUAGUAUACUUUGAACCAAAAUGCAUUUGAUUUUUUGUAAAGAAAGAACUUGGUUUAAACCCUGAGCUAUGUUCAAUAAUUCUGUGUUAAGUGCAAAUAAGUAUCUUUUUUGAAAUUAUAUGAUUCGUAACUGUUGUCAUACUUGUAAAUUAGUUUGAGGGUAAUCCUAUGUGCAUGUUGUGUAAUGGCGUGACCUUGGCCCUGUAUGCCCUUUCAAUUCUAUCUUGUUGACUUUGAUUAAAUCUGGGGAGUAAUUGGGUUGUUGUCUAAGUUGCUUAGGAUUGAUAGCAUGUGUUUGUUUUGUUUGGAUUGCUUUGGUAAGUAUUUGUUCCAACAGUAGAUGUGGCAUUGUCACACUUGAUAUUUGGUUCAGUCCUCUUCUUGUUUGUUGGUAUUGUGUUCUGGUUUCUGAAUCCCUUAUCUGAUAUGUAUGUGCAGCAUCCUGUAUCCUAUGAUCUCUAGUUAUAUCAUUGAGUUUUUGACCAACUGAAUACAAUUAACUUCUACUACUUAAUACAUAAAUUAUUUCUCAUGAUAAAGGUCGAAAUGGUACUAGUCUUACUGAACUUUUAAAACAAAACCUCUUGUAAAACUGUCUGAAAUCUUAGCUCACAUGCUUCAUAACUCUCUUGUUCCUUUACUGUCCUCCAUGAGUUUGAGUAUUGAACUGGUUUUCAAGUGAUGGAUAAGGCUCUAAAAAUGAGUUUCCAUUUUUUCCUACUUCCUGUGUGUUCCCUGAAGUUAUUCAGGAUGUAUUUUGAACCCUUUUGAUAAGUGAAGACCUGGGAGAAUUAGUUCACUAUCUGUUAGCUUUUUUCUAUUUUAGUUUCUCUUGUUUGAAUUAGUUUUUGGUCAGCCAAGAGUUAGUUGAACAUUUGUGGCGCUAUGAACUGAUGAAAUCUUCUUUAAACUGAGUCUGAGAUUUGAAGGGACCAACAUCAUCCUUUUUCCUGGAAGUAUUUGUCUACAAGAACUGUUUUCGUAUAUAUAUCUCUAAAUUGUUCAAGUUUUGAAAUAGAGUUCAGCACAUUUAGAACCUCCCUUUAAGUAAUUUCAUUACUUGAAUCUUUAUCCUCAUGUUGUAUGCUGGCUGGAAGUCAAGGCAAAUAGAGGGUGUGGUUUAACCCCCUCCAAUAACCUGCCAUGCCGAGGUUCUAAAACCUUUGGAUCUUGGGCGGCAUUGGAACAAUGAGGGUGGUAGCCCCCCUUUGACUACCUUGUCUUUCAAGCUUAAUGUUUGGUCCAAUGUUCAUAAAUAACCUCAUGUUUACUGUUUUUUCUUAGAAAUGUUCGUUUGUCUUCUGCCUUUGCCUACUGAUAGUUGCUUUAAGUGACCACUAUUAAUAUCCUGUUUAAGAUGAUUAAUUUGUGGAGAGUGAGAAAUCCUUGGUACUUAUUCUUCACUUCUCCUCUUCUUUGCAUGACUUGGGGAAAUUUCCAAUCCCCAAAUGUUGCCUGAGUUGUUGUUGAACCUGGAAAACUUGCUACAUUUGGGAAGCUCUCAAAGUGUCAUAUUUGAAUAAGUUACUGCCGCUACAUUUGGCCAUAUUGAGCAGCUGUUGUUCCAUUGUGUAUCACUGUAUUUUUGGUAAGUUUAUUGCUAUAUUCUAAGGCAAGAUAGUGGUUGCACUUGAGCUCUUAGUUUGAGCCAUGAACCAUUGCAAUCCUGGCCAUUUUGUUGCCAUACUCUGAUAUAUAUUGUUGCUGCAUUUGGCCUAUUGUUGCUUCAUUAUUGAUGCUGCAUUUGGCCAUAAAUAGUUGCCUAUUUGCACGGCCACUGCUACUGAAUAUUUCUGCUGCAUUUUUUUUUUUGGCCAUUAUGAUUGCCAUAUAGGGCUUUCGGAAGGGCUGCACUUUGGCUAUUGUAUUAGCUGGUUAUUCUUAUGAUUUUGAGCCAAGUUUUGGGUAGCUUUGAGGCUCAUUAGCUGCUGCUAUUUGGGCUGGUUGAUCUCUUUGUUUUGAGACAAUUGCUGGGGCAUUUUUUGCUCAGUUGGAGGCCAUUGUUGCAUUUUUGCUCGAAGUUUUGAGGCCAUUGCUGGUGCAUUUUGCUCAGUUUAGAGGCCAUUGCUCUGCUUUGCUUAGCCUACUGCUGCUGCAUCUUUGGCUUUGGCAUUUGUUGUCUUGAAGCGUUCUAGAGCAACUUCUUGCUAGUACUUUUGGUAUCUUCUUUGAAAAAAUUGAACAAACUGCGACCUUUGGUGAAAAAUCCAACUGAUUUGAACUUGAUAACUACGUUUGAGCCGAUGAAGAGUUGUUUAACUUGAGGCCUCACUUUUAAAAGAACGGAUUUCUGUACUUGAUUGAAAGUUUACUGAUUUGAAUACUUAACUUGAGAAUGCCUAGUCCGGAAAGGUUCUAUCUCUCGGUGGGCAAUGAUGAUCAUAGUCUAGUUAUAAAAUAGUAACCAACAUGCGCUUGUCGAGGCAAUAGAAUGACUGACGGGUCGCUAUUUCGCAGCCAUGACAUGUUCAGGGGCCCUUUUUCCCAUAUUUGAAAGAAGUAUGAUUCAGAGCCUUUACUAAUCAAAGCUCCUAUAGUUUGGUGCGAAACCGAGGGAUAUUAUAUUCAUAAACGUCACCCCGUGGGGUGGUGUAUCCUUUUUACUAAUCAUUCUUGUUUCUAUUCUUGCGAGGUACGAAUAAACAAGUUCGGGGAAUACUACAAGGAUGAAUAUUGCACAAUUGGAGCAUACAUAUGGAAUCGAAGCAAUAUGGAAUGACAAGAAGAGAAGUAGUAGGAGACAAGGCAAAGACUUGGACAUUUGGGGCUUUCAGACGAAGAAUAAAGGAAGCACAGAAUUGCAACAAAAGGUCCAAGAAGGAGAGGAGAUAGGCUUAUCCGAUUAACCUUUCUCCGCCUUCAUUCUUUCCCUCCCUUUAGUUAUUUUGAAAAUAUUCUGUUUACUUACUUUAUUUAAGUAUUGUUGGAACCUUUAUAGAUUAGAACUUAAGAUUUAGAGUUGUGAAAACUGAUUUUCAAAGCCAUGUAUAAAACAGAUGUGAAAUACGAAUUACUCUUAAUAUAAGCUCGAUUUUCCUAA